rnacentral:tRNA from 1 species
CGGAAAAAUAGCCUAGUGGAUAUGGCAUCUGCCCGGUAAGCGGAACACUGUGGGUUCGAUUCCCAUCCCUGGACGA